rnacentral:rRNA from 1 species
GAUCAAGUAUCUUACAAGCAUAUAGAGGAUGCCUUGGCGCUAAAAGGCGAUGAAAGACGUGGUACGCUGCGAUAAGCUACGGGGAGCUGUGAACAAGCUUUGAUCCGUAGAUUUCUGAAUGGGGAAACCCGGCCCUUCGGGGUCAUUAAUUAGUGAAUACAUAGCUAAUUAAAGCGAACCUGGUGAACUGAAACAUCUAAGUAACCAGAGGAAAGGACAUCAAUUGAGACUCCGUUAGUAGUGGCGAGCGAACGCGGACCAGGCCAAUGUUUUACGAUAAUCAAAUUAGAACCAUCUGGAAAGUUGGGCCAUAGUAGGUGAUAGCCCUGUAUAUUAAUUAUUAUCAUAAGACUUCGAGUAGGACGGGACACGUGGAAUCUUGUCUGAACAUGGGGGGACCACCCUCCAAGCCUAAGUACUCUUUAGCGACCGAUAGUGAACAAGUACCGUGAGGGAAAGGUGAAAAGAACCCCGAUGAGGGGAGUGAAAUAGAUCUGAAACUGUAUGCUUACAAUCAGUCGGAGCCCGCAAGGGUGACGGCGUACCUUUUGUAUAAUGGGUCAGCGACUUAAUUUAUCAAGCAAGCUUAAGCCGAUAGGUGUAGGCGUAGCGAAAGCGAGUCUUAAUAGGGCGCUUAGUUUGAUGGAUUAGACCCGAAACCGAGUGAUCUAGCUAUGAGCAGGUUGAAGGUGCAGUAACAUGCACUGGAGGACCGAACCCACUUAUGUUGAAAAAUGAGGGGAUGACUUGUGGCUAGGGGUGAAAGGCCAAUCAAACUCGGAGAUAUCUGGUUCUCCGCGAAAUCUAUUUAGGUAGAGCGUCACGUGAAUACCCUCGGGGGUAGAGCACUGGAUGGGCUAGGGGGACUCACCGUCUUACCAAACCUAACCAAACUCCGAAUACCGAGGAGUACUGCGUGGCAGACACACUAUGGGUGCUAAGGUCCAUAGUGGAGAGGGAAACAGCCCUAACCGCCAGUUAAGGUCCCCAAAUUAUUGCUAAGUUGAAAAGGAUGUGGAACGUCCAAAACAGCCAGGAGGUUGGCUUAGAAGCAGCCAUCCUUUAAAGAAAGCGUAACAGCUCACUGGUCUAAUUAAGAUGUUCUGUGCCGAAAAUGUAACGGGGAUUAAGCAAUAUACCGAAACUGCGGGUGCUAUUUAUAGCGCGGUAGCGGAGCGUUCCGUAAGCCUGUGAAGGAUAACCGUGAGGUUAUUUGGAGGUAUCGGAAGUGAGAAUGCUGACAUGAGUAACGAUAAAGAGUGUGAGAAACACUCUCGCCGAAAGUCCAAGGGUUCCUGCUUAAAGUUAAUCUGAGCAGGGUUAGCCGGCCCCUAACGCGAGGGCGAAAGCCGUAGUGGAUGGGAAUGAGGUUAAUAUUCCUCAGCCAGUUGGUAGUGACGGAUUUGGUAACCUGUAUUUUCUUAUUGGAUUGAAAAUGCAGCGAACAAGUUCCAGGAAAUAGCUCCAACAUUACUGACCGUACCCCAAACCGACACAGGUGGACGAGUAGAGAAUACUAAGGCGCUUGAGAGAACUAUGUUGAAGGAACUCGGCAAAAUACCUCCGUAACUUCGGGAGAAGGAGGCCCGGUCUUAAGGCAACUUUUGGUCGGGGGCACAAAAUUGGGGGUGGCGACUGUUUACUAAAAACACAGGACUCUGCGAAGCCGCAAGGCGACGUAUAGGGUCUGACGCCUGCCCGGUGCUGGAAGGUUAAGAGGAGGAGUGCAAGCUCUGAAUUGAAGCCCCAGUAAACGGCGGCCGUAACUAUAACGGUCCUAAGGUAGCGAAAUUCCUUGUCGGGUAAGUUCCGACCUGCACGAAUGGCGUAACGACUUCCCCGCUGUCUCCAACAUAGACUCAGUGAAAUUGAAUUUCCCGUGAAGAUGCGGGAUAACUGCGGUUAGACGGAAAGACCCCGUGCACCUUUACUACAGCUUUGCAGUGAUAUUAGUGAUGCUAUGUGUAGGAUAGGUGGGAGGCUUUGAAGCAUUAGCGCCAGUUAGUGUGGAGCCAUCCUUGAAAUACCACCCUUAUCCUUAUUGAUAUCUAACCGCGGUCCAUGAAACUGGAUCCGGGACCCUGCAUGGUGGGUAGUUUGACUGGGGCGGUCGCCUCCCAAAGAGUAACGGAGGCGCGCGAAGGUAGGCUCAGGCCGGUCGGAAAUCGGUCGUCGAGUGCAAUGGCAUAAGCCUGCCUGACUGCGAGACUGACAAGUCGAGCAGAGACGAAAGUCGGUCAUAGUGAUCCGGUGGUCCCGUGUGGAAGGGCCAUCGCUCAACGGAUAAAAGGUACGCCGGGGAUAACAGGCUGAUGACCCCCAAGAGUUCAUAUCGACGGGGUUGUUUGGCACCUCGAUGUCGGCUCAUCGCAUCCUGGGGCUGGAGCAGGUCCCAAGGGUUUGGCUGUUCGCCAAUUAAAGCGGUACGUGAGCUGGGUUUAGAACGUCGUGAGACAGUUCGGUCCCUAUCUGCCGUGGUUGUAGGAGAAUUGAGAGGAGUUGCCCCUAGUACGAGAGGACCGGGGUGAACGUACCUCUGGUGGACCUGUUGUCGCGCCAGCGGCAUAGCAGGGUAGCUAAGUACGGACGGGAUAACCGCUGAAAGCAUCUAAGCGGGAAGCCUCCCUCAAAACUAGUUCUCCCAUGAGAGUCGUGGAAGACUACCACGUUGAUAGGCCAGGUGUGGAAGUGCGGUAACGCAUGAAGCUAACUGGUACUAAUAACUCGAUUGACUUAAUCGA